rnacentral:rRNA from 1 species
UCCAGACUCCUACGGGAGGCAGCAGUGGGGAAUAUUGCACAAUGGGGGAAACCCUGAUGCAGCAACGCCGCGUGAGUGAAGAAGUCUUUCGGUAUGUAAGGCUCUAUCAGCAGGGAAGAGAAUGACGGUACCUGACUAAGAAGCCCCGGCUAACUACGUGCCAGCAGCCGCGGUAAUACGUAGGGGGCGAGCGUUAUCCGGAUUUACUGGGUGUAAAGGGAGCGUAGACGGUUCUGCAAGUCUGAAGUGAAAGCCCGUGGCUUAACCGCGGAACGGCUUUGGAAACUGUGGAACUGGAGUGCUGGAGAGGCAGGCGGAAUUCCUAGUGUAGCGGUGAAAUGCGUAGAUAUUAGGAGGAACACCAGUGGCGAAGGCGGCCUGCUGGGCUUUAACUGACGCUGAGGCUCGAAAGCGUGGGGAGCAAACAGGAUUAGAUACCCGCGUAA